AGCGAACGCUGGCGGAAUGCUUAACACAUGCAAGUCGCACGGGGGCUUCGGCCUUAGUGGCGGACGGUGAGUAACGCGUAGGAAUGUGUCCGAGGGUGGGGGAUAACGUUGGGAAACUGACGCUAAUACCGCAUAUCCCCUGAGGGGGAAAGCAGAGAUGCGCCCACGGAGCAGCCUGCGUCCGAUUAGCUAGUUGGUUAGGUAAAGGCUGACCAAGGCGACGAUCGGUAGCUGGUCUGAGAGGAUGAUCAGCCACACUGGAACUGAGACACGGUCCAGACUCCUACGGGAGGCAGCAGUGGGGAAUAUUGGACAAUGGGCGCAAGCCUGAUCCAGCAAUUCCGCGUGGGUGAAGAAGGUCUUCGGAUUGUAAAGCCCUUUCGUUGGGGACGAUGAUGACGGUACCCAAAGAAGAAGCCCCGGCUAACUUCGUG
rnacentral:rRNA from 1 species